GGGGAUGUACUGGUUUCGACUUGGAAACAAAGUACUAGUUGCAUGCAGAGGACACCGGUUGGCCUCUUAAAAAAGCCGGUAAAACCACAAAUGCUGCUAAACCAGCAAAGAGCAAAGUUGUUGCUAGCAUCGCUCCAGUAGCUGAAGCUGCUGAAUUGAUGGCUGCUUAAUGAUUUUGCUUGUGUCGUGCGGGCUUAACCGCCCAAACGGCCCGAUAGCCAAGAUCUGGACCGUGGGGUUUUGAGUCUAUCGUCAUAAUCGCGGUGUGAGAACGUUACCGCCGACUCCUAGGUGACGGUCUCGAAAUUAAAUGGGGUCGAUCAGUUCUAGCGGUGGGUCCAACGACGGAACUGAUUAACUUUGGGCUCUAAGCAUGUAGACGCUAAUAUGGAGUUUAUCAAGGACGGGAGUUCGAUUCUCCCCAUCUCCAUCU
rnacentral:tmRNA from 1 species